rnacentral:rRNA from 1 species
ACGAACGCUGGCGGCAUGGAUUAGGCAUGCAAGUCGAACGGUAGUAGCAAUACUACAGUGGCGCAAGGGUGAGGAACACGUGAGUAAUCUGCCCUCAAGUUGGGAAUAGCUCCGGGAAACUGGAAUUAAUACCGAAUGUGAUCAAUUUUCCGCAUGGUAGAUUGAUUAAAGGCGAAAGUCGCUUGAGGAGGAGCUCGCGUCCCAUUAGUUAGUUGGCGGGGUAAUGGCCCACCAAGACGAUGAUGGGUAGCUGGUCUGAGAGGACGACCAGCCACACUGGGACUGAGAACUUCCCAGACUCCUACGGGAGGCUGCAGUCGAGAAUUUUGGGCAAUGGGCGAAAGCCUGACCCAGCAAUGCCGCGUGCGGGAUGAAGGUCUUCGGAUCGUAAACCGCUGUCGCCCGGGACGAAAUAUGACGGUACCGGGGGAGGAAGCCACGGCUAACUACGU